CCCCAUAAGGCUGAGCUGUGAUGGCGAGCGAAAUAUAGUAGCGAAGUUCCUGAUUCCACACUGCCAAGAAAAGCCUCUAGCGAGGUGAGAGGUGCCCGUACCGCAAACCGACACAGGUAGGCGAGGAGAGAAUCCUAAGGUGAUCGAGAGAACUCUCGUUAAGGAACUCGGCAAAAUGACCCCGUAACUUCGGGAGAAGGGGUGCUCUGUUAGGGUGCAAGCCCGAGAGAGCCGCAGUGAAUAGGCCCAGGCGACUGUUUAGCAAAAACACAGGUCUCUGCGAAGCCGUAAGGCGAAGUAUAGGGGCUGACGCCUGCCCGGUGCUGGAAGGUUAAGAGGAGCGCUUAGCGUAAGCGAAGGUGCGAAUUGAAGCCCCAGUAAACGGCGGCCGUAACCAUAACGGUCCUAAGGUAGCGAAAUUCCUUGUCGGGUAAGUUCCGACCCGCACGAAAGGCGCAACGAUCUGGGCACUGUCUCAACGAGAGACUCGGUGAAAUUAUAGUACCUGUGAAGAUGCAGGUUACCCGCGACAGGACGGAAAGACCCCGUGGAGCUUUACUGCAGCCUGAUAUUGAAUGUUGGUACAGCUUGUACAGGAUAGGUAGGAGCCUUGGAAACCGGAGCGCCAGCUUCGGUGGAGGCAUCGGUGGGAUACUACCCUGGCUGUAUUGACCUUCUAACCCGCCGCCCUUAUCGGGCGGGGAGACAGUGUCAGGUGGGCAGUUUGACUGGGGCGGUCGCCUCCUAAAAGGUAACGGAGGCGCCCAAAGGUUCCCUCAGAAUGGUUGGAAAUCAUUCGCAGAGUGUAAAGGCACAAGGGAGCUUGACUGCGAGACCUACAAGUCGAGCAGGGACGAAAGUCGGGCUUAGUGAUCCGGUGGUUCCGCAUGGAAGGGCCAUCGCUCAACGGAUAAAAGCUACCCCGGGGAUAACAGGCUUAUCUCCCCCAAGAGUCCACAUCGACGGGGAGGUUUGGCACCUCGAUGUCGGCUCAUCGCAUCCUGGGGCUGUAGUCGGUCCCAAGGGUUGGGCUGUUCGCCCAUUAAAGCGGUACGCGAGCUGGGUUCAGAACGUCGUGAGACAGUUCGGUCCCUAUCCGUCGCGGGCGCAGGAAAUUUGAGAGGAGCUGUCCUUAGUACGAGAGGACCGGGAUGGACGCACCGCUGGUGUACCAGUUGUUCUGCCAAGGGCAUCGCUGGGUAGCUAUGUGCGGACGGGAUAAGUGCUGAAAGCAUCUAAGCAUGAAGCCCCCCUCAAGAUGAGAUUUCCCAUUCCGCAAGGAAGUAAGAUCCCUGAAAGAUGAUCAGGUUGAUAGGUCUGAGGUGGAAGUGUGGCGACACAUGGAGCUGACAGAUACUAAUCGAUCGAGGACUUAACC
rnacentral:rRNA from 1 species